AGAGUUGAUCCUGGCUUAGGACGAACGCUGGCGGCGUGCUUAACACAUGCAAGUCGAACGAGCAGUAAUGCGAGUGGCGGACUGGUGAGUAACGCGUGAAGAACCUGCCUCUAACUGGGGGACAACAACUGGAAACGGUUGCUAAUACCGCAUAAGACCACAGACCGGCAUCGGUCAGGGGUCAAAGCUCCGGCGGUUAGAGAUGGCUUCGCGUACUAUUAGCUUGUUGGUGAGGUAACGGCCCACCAAGGCGAUGAUAGUUAGCCGACCUGAGAGGGUGAUCGGCCACAUUGGAACUGAGAUACGGUCCAAACUCCUACGGGAGGCAGCAGUGGGGAAUAUUGGGCAAUGGAGGAAAAACCUCUGACCCAGCAACGCCGCGUGAAGGAUGAAGGUUCUAGGAUUGUAAACUUCUGUCGCAGGGGACGAAGAAUGACGGUACCCUGUAAGAAAGCCCCGGCAAACUAUGUGCCAGCCGCCGC
rnacentral:rRNA from 1 species